AAGAGACGUCGGGUGUUAUCUUUUCUUCAUAUAUUUUGUUUAAUGGCAUUAUUGGAGCAUGAGUCAUUUGUUUCUCUAUGAUGUCUUUCAGUGCUCUCAGAGACGUGAGGAUUCCCCCGGGACCAAGACUUUUAAUUCUUGACCACAUCCAAAGGGACCUUGAUCCCAAGGAGAAGCGAGGAAGCCGACAUUGAUUGAUAUGAAUAGUUUGCUGCCUUGAACUUUGAAAGCCAUUGAAAAUGGAUCUUAGGAAGGAAGUUUGUGUUGCAAAUGAAUUUUGUCUUUUUUGUUUUUUUAGCUUCACGUUCCAAUGCUGUUGCAGUAUACUUGAUAAAAUUUGUUAACUAA